CCUAUUGGUUGUAUUUGCCAGUUUCUUUGCCUGAUACUUUUUUUAUUGGAUGCCAGAUACUGUGACGUUUACAGUGUUGGGUGCUGGAUAUUUUUUUUAUCACUAUACAUAUUCUUUGUUCUAGGACACAGUUCAUUCCUUGGAAGUAGUUUGAUUCUUCUGGACCUUACUUUUAAGCUUUAUUGGUUGAACCAGAGUAACGCUUAGUCUCGAGUUGGUCUCCCCACUACGGAGGCAAAGCCCAUCUGGGUACUCUCCCCAUGGGUUCCGAGGUUUGCUAGCUCCGGCCCACCUCGUGUGGGCUCCCAGGGCGGUUCCCUCACGUCUGUGGAUGUUCCAGGCGGUCUCCUCUUCCUGAGCAGUUCCCUCACAUGCACGCACUGGCAGUGCUCAACUUAAGACUCAAGGGCGGGGCCUCUGCCUAUCUCUCCUCGGCUCUUACCGCUUCCCUGCCAACUCUAGCCGCUUCAGCCUCUGUGGACUCCCAGCUCCAUCUCAACUCCUGGAGACCUCCAACCUCCACCUGGGUCCCCACCGCUGCACCACAGCCUGGACUCUCUCCAGGCCGUAAGCUGGAGAAUCACAGGCCUCACCUUGUUUCUUUUCUAUCUCUCGGGGGAUCACUGGCCUUCGUUGCCUGGUGUCUAAUGUGUUGAAAACCAUUGCUUUACGUAUUUCAUUUGGAUUUGUAGAUGGGUAAGCAAAGGAGGAAAAUGUUCCUUGGGAAGAAGGGAGUAAAGACUACAUGUAUGGAUCAACUAGGAUGCAAGACGCUGAACUAACUUGAAGACUGGAGGGGAGCAUGGUUCGCUAUUGGGGCACCUUUCCGUCUGGCUUAUUUUACUUCAUCUGCCGCAGGCUCACUGCCAGUGCUCUGUGUUUAAACGUUGUGCCCGACAGUCACAGCUAAGAGAUCUCCAGAGAAUCCCGUCCGUCUCUGAGUAGCCUUUCAGCACCAGUGUGGAUGUCUACAUGGGUUUGCCUCCGUUACAACUGGUUUCUUGUUGGCGCUAAAAAGUUGAAGGUGGGCAGGAAACCUGAAAACAAAGCAGGCGGUAGUGGAAAUGAAAAUCACCCGGAUUGUCGUCAAGUACUUGCCAUGUGGCUCCUUUGUCCAAGGAGGCCGAUUGCCCCACAUGGACUCUGGUCAGGGGCCUUAGGGAGCUGCUCACAGAUUGUCCCAGAGAGUUGGCAACAACAGAAGGUUCAUCAGCAGAGGAAGAGCUGAACAAAUUAUGGACAUCCACGCGAUAGGACUUUGUAUCAUUUAAAAGCUAGGUCUCAAGGUACUGGCCUGGAAAAAUGGGACAUAUUAAGUGAAAUGUCAUGAUAUACACUAUAGAAAAUAGAAACCAGUAAGUAAAGCAUGACCCCAAAACUGAGCAUGUGUGUGGGUCUGACUGUCUAAGGAAAACGUCAGAAACAACGUGAACUGUUAACAAUGGUUAGUUACUUUAGAGGAUUGCGGGAGGAAGGGUAAAUUAGGUUGGGAUGGUCUUAGUUUGUACAGUUUUUUAAAGUAGUGAAGUUUUAAUUUUUUGUUUUUUAGUAUUUUAUAUAUAAAAAACAAAACUGGUUAAAAAAAGAAAACCUCAGCAUUUGGGUAAGUAGGUAAAU